ACAAAGUCAUGAUCUAAAUAUAACUUAACAUUGACACAUAAACAUACACAUGAAAAAGCUUUAAAACUGACGAGACUUGAGGAGCAAAUGACCUGAUUACUGAUCUCAAAAUAAACACUGGUGUUAAAGUUUAGUCAAUAAAAGACAAAGGCCACACUUGAGCCAAGAAAACAGCCAACAAAAUCUAAUUUGGCACAUUUGCAAAGCAUAAUUUAGUACAAGGACGAACCAUCCUCAGUCACACAAUGAAGAAAAUUGUGACUACACAGUAGGAGAAGGCGUCAAGUACAUCAAGGUCGGACAGGCAAAGCUGUACUAAAACUCAGUGACACCAGUGACAGGUGACUGUGAACAGUAAGCGAAGAGCAUGUUUUUCAGCAGGUCAGUCCUCAGUCACCAGUUAAAAUCAGGCUUUGUAGAGUCAUAACAGCAGCUCAGGUCUAACCAGAAUAAACCAGAGUAAAUUUCCCUGCCUGCGCUAAAUGAACUCAGGGUCAGACUGAGAGAGAAAUUCAGCCUUAGAUUUAUCCGCUGUGACAUCUGGGCAGACACUUGUUUGUGACUGACCAGUGAACCAAUCAGUGAGUCUGUCAGUCAGCAGCAGUCCAGCCAAAAACAAAACAGAAAGAUGAACGGCUCUCGGAAAGGAGCGGAGGAAAAGCUGUUGUUCACCUGUCACAGAUUGAAGGUGACAUCAGUGAUCACCUGUACAGACCAUUUCCUUUUCAGACCCAGUUUUGCCUUCAAUAAUCAUUUAAAUCCAGUUUCCGAUUCCCAACCUACUACGUUUCUAGUCAACCAUAAACAAGGUGUCAAUGAUCAACAAAAUCACUGUUGCAUGUUUACUACACUACAACUCAUUGACAGUAAUAGUUUUAAAUAACUGCAGCCCUACAGACGACACACUCACUGACAUAAUGAGUGUAUAAAUACAAAAUAUCACCAUUUACAGUGUUUUCAUCUAGAAAAUCGCAUUCAAUUUUAGUGGUUCAAAAGUACCAACGCAAAACCAGCAACAGUAAAGCAUACUAAUUAUCUCUGUCUAGGCAGCAGAAAUGCUUUUAACUGUUAUAAUGUUCUGAAGCGUUUAUCAGUGCAUUAUUCAUUACUGUACACUUUGUUCUUAUGAAAUAUAAGUGCACAUCUCUUCCCUCUUAUACAACCGUAAUCUAUACUUCCCAUAAUCCUCCGGGGUACUUAACAUAUUAAAAAUGUUGACAGGCUCAUGUUCACUAUAUCUUUUCACUACUUCUAUUAUUCAUCUUUGUAUUACAGCUGUUUGUAUUCUACUUUUUCACACGCUGAAUCUCAUUUUUACCCACAUCGAUCAUCAGUUUAAUGUUGUAUCAAACACACUGCUCUGUGUUUUAAUAUAUUACUGACAUCCCUCUCUCUUUAAUGUGGACACAUUCACAGGAGAAUGGAAAUUCCUGGGUUGACCAAGGCCGGUUGAUAAAGACAGACUGAAAUAUGAAAGCACUUUGUGUUAUGGGCACAUGUGGCUGCUGGCAUAUGAACUGAUUGGAUGUUGAGGUGCUGCACUACAUUGUCACCCAUGGCCGGACCUAUCUGCAUGUUACAUUUUCUCUGUUCCAGUGCACAUGUAAAACUCUCUGUUACCGGCAACCUUGUCAAACUGGUGUUAAUGUUAAGGUCUUAUUUUCCUGUUACUGUUUUCAUUUCUCCUUGUUCAAAGACAGUUAUUAUUAAGAGUUAUAUCACUAUCAGUAUGUAUUCUUCAAUAUAAAAGGAAGAUGAGCUUAUUACUCUCAUGUCAAGAGUAACUUAUAUCUUCUGUCGACAAGGUUAUUUUUCUCUAAUGAUAUCAGUCUGUUUAUUAGUAAGAUAUGUGAACAGUUACAAAAUCCCUUUGUUGUCUCAAAUCAGCAAAUCAAGUCAUUAAGAUUAUGAACACUAAUCUUGACAAGGCCUCAGGCCAGGGAACCCACACACUCCCCUAAUUCCCGUUCCUUUAAAUACACACUCAAUAUACAUACGCAGUAUCUGUUUGUGACAUGUCUAUAACUCCUCAGGUAGUAUAGCCCUUCCUCUGAUUAACACUUUUAGGUUAUGACUUCUCUUUUGCAUAAUAUCUUUUUAUAUUUGUUUACUAAACAUUGCUCUAAUGUACAUUUCAGUGAACAAGUGGUGUCCAUGUGGAUCAUAAAAAUCAUUGAAGUUCCUUAAAUGUUUGCUCAAAAAUCUGAAAGCUGACAGGUGGAAUUUACUUAUCAUGGCUGCACACUGGAGGCCAUGUGUGCUGCUGCAUGUAACUUAAGUUUUUUUUAAGCUCCAGCCUUGGCAAGCCAUUCAUCUACCUGCGGGUACAGGUAAAUAAUUAUGAAGACACAGGACAGCACUUUACCUCUUGCCAUUUUCCAUUACAUAGAUUAUGGUUCCAUUAGGAGCUAUAGGUCUUCAUCCCAUUAUACCACUCAUAAUACAGUGUACCUACAAGCCUUUUUAAGCCACAAUCCGGAACAGUUUUGUCACUACCAUCCUUACUUCACAGCCGUUUACUAUCCCACAGACAGCUGUGUGUCCUGGAUUAGCCCACACUCUCAGGCUCUCUCCGGGUCAAUCAUUCAAUUAAAGGAUUGGCCCUUGGCUCCGUGUGGCCUGGACAACAUGAACUCCUCGUCCUACAUCCAUCUCCAGGCUCCACUCGCCUGCUCUGUCCUCACAGAAAUCCCUACAAAUCCACAGUCCUCUACACAGCAGCACAAACAUCACAGGUAAUUUUCAGAGGUCACCCGAGUCCUCAGAUCAAAUUCCCACCCCAGUGCUGUGUGUUAACCUCACCUGGAGAGGACGUGGUUGAAGCAGAUCUCAGCCUGGACCAGACGCCCCAGCUGCCUGAGACACAAUCCCUUCAGCAGCUGGAUGAGACACUGGUCAUCCAGCUGCUGCUGUUGCUCUCACUUGGAUCCUCUCGGAGCUGCUCCUCUGCUUUUUCCAAAGUGGUCAAGAUGCUCUUCAGUGAGCUCAGGUCUUUUGCCAACGACUGUGAAGCCAUUCCACACGUACAUCAUUUCCUG